rnacentral:rRNA from 1 species
ACAGAGGGUGCGAGCGUUAAUCGGAAUUACUGGGCGUAAAGCGCACGUAGGUGGCGACGUAAGUCGGAUGUGAAAGCCCCGGGCUCAACCUGGGAACUGCAUUCAAAACUGACAAGCUAGAGUAUGGUAGAGGGUGGUGGAAUUUCCUGUGUAGCGGUGAAAUGCGUAGAUAUAGGAAGGAACACCAGUGGCGAAGGCGACCACCUGGACUGAUACUGACACUGAGGUGCGAAAGCGUGGGGAGCAAACAGGA